rnacentral:rRNA from 1 species
AUUGAACGCUGGCGGCAUGCCUUACACAUGCAAGUCGAACGGUAACGGGCCUUCAGGUGCCGACGAGUGGCGCACGGGUGAGUAAUACAUCGGAACGUGCCCGAUCGUGGGGGAUAACGAGGCGAAAGCUUUGCUAAUACCGCAUACGAUCUACGGAUGAAAGCAGGGGACCGCAAGGCCUUGCGCGGACGGAGCGGCCGAUGGCAGAUUAGGUAGUUGGUGGGAUAAAAGCUUACCAAGCCGACGAUCUGUAGCUGGUCUGAGAGGAUGAUCAGCCACACUGGGACUGAGACACGGCCCAGACUCCUACGGGAGGCAGCAGUGGGGAAUUUUGGACAAUGGGCGCAAGCCUGAUCCAGCCAUGCCGCGUGCAGGAUGAAGGCCUUCGGGUUGUAAACUGCUUUUGUACGGAACGAAAAGCCUUCUUUUAAUACAGGAGGGUCAUGACGGUACCGUAAGAAUAAGCACCGGCUAACUACGUG